GUCGGCAGGAGCAAGCCUGAAAA
rnacentral:piRNA from 1 species